AACGAACGCUGGCGGCAUGCCUAACACAUGCAAGUCGAACGUGAUCCGGGGCUUCGGCUCCGGUGAAAGUGGCGGGCGGGUGAGUAACGCGUGGGAACCUGCCCAGUGGUAGGGGAUAACCGCGGGAAACUGCGGCUAAUACCCUAUGCGCCCUAUGGGGCAAAGAUUUAUCGCCAUUGGAGGGGCCCGCGUCGGAUUAGGUAGUUGGUGAGGUAACGGCUCACCAAGCCUUCGAUCCGUAGCUGGCUGAGAGGAUGAUCAGCCACACUGGGACUGAGACACGGCCCAGACUCCUACGGGAGGCAGCAGUGGGGAGUAUUGGACAAUGGGGGCGAACCCUGAUCCAGCAAUGCCGCGUGAGUGAUGAAGGCCUUAGGGUUGUAAAGCUCUUUCGGCGGGAAGAUGAUGACGGUACCCGCAGAAGAAGCCCCGGCUAACUUCGUGCCAGCAGCCGCAGUAAU
rnacentral:rRNA from 1 species